CCUACGGGAGGCAGCAGUAAGGAAUAUUGGUCAAUGGACGCAAGUCUGAACCAGCCAUGCCGCGUGCAGGAUGAAGGCCCUCUGGGUUGUAAACUGCUUUUAUAGGGGACGAAAAAGGGACUUUCUAGUUCAACUGACGGUACCCUAGGAAUAAGCACCGGCUAACUCCGUGCCAGCAGCCGCGGUAAUACGGAGGGUGCAAGCGUUAUCCGGAUUUACUGGGUUUAAAGGGUGCGUAGGUGGGUCGGUAAGUCAGCGGUGAAAUCUUCGAGCUUAACUCGGAAACUGCCAUUGAUACUAUCGAUCUUGAAUCAUCUAGAGGUAAGCGGAAUAUGUCAUGUAGCGGUGAAAUGCUUAGAUAUGACAUAGAACACCAAUUGCGAAGGCAGCUUACUAUGGAUGUAUUGACACUGAGGCACGAAAGCGUGGGGAUCAAACAGGAUUAGAUACCCUGGUAGUCCACGCCCUAAACGAUGGAUACUCGACAUCAGCGAUACACUGUUGGUGUNUGAGNGAAGACAUUAAGUAUACCACCUCGGAAGGUACGAGUCGCGAAGAGUUAGUAAACGUUAAAUUAGUAAGUUAGUACGGACGUGAGACGUUGCCGACGGACGACGACGAGGGGAGGGUAGGGAG
rnacentral:rRNA from 1 species